UACGAAGGGGGCUAGCGUUGCUCGGAAUCACUUGGGCGUAAAGGGUGCGUAGGCGGGUCUUUAAGUCAGGGGUGAAAUCCUGGAGCUCAACUCCAGAACUGCCUUUGAUACUGGAGAGCUCGAGUCCGGAAGAGGUGAGUGGAACUGCGAGUGUAGAGGUGAAAUUCGUAGAUAUUCGCAAGAACACCAGUGGCGAAGGCGGCUCACUGGUCCGGUACUGACGCUGAGGCGCGAAAGCUAGGGGAGCGAACAGG
rnacentral:rRNA from 1 species